CAAUAUCGAAUGACAUUCUGAAUCACACGAGUACUUCAACCAACCAGUUCCUGGCACCAAGUCAUAUAAUGCAUGUAAAACUUAUGUUUCCUUCUACUUCUCUUUCCAUACACCCCUGUUUUGAUGAACAGAGAAGAUGAUGAAUAUUGUAGUUUGUAGUGAAGUCUGAUAUAUUCCAGCUUUACCAAAACAUGCACCAUAUGUGAGCUUUACCAAAACAUGCACCAUAUGUUACACAGCAGUUUGGUCUUAAUUCUCUUCAAGGAUUUUCUGGAAUGUCGCCAUUUGGGCAGAUGCAGGAACAAUCACCUGUUCAUCUUCAGCAACCUCAUCUACAACAACCACCCUUUCAUAGCGGUCCACAAAUGCACCAGGCUCCCCCUCCAGAUAUCCAGUCAUUUCAAUUUCUUAGCAGCAAUCUUCAGCUCGGCCACCAUAACACGGAUCAAGGCCAGUACACAAUCCCAGUAUGGCAUUUCCUGUGAUGUAGCAUGUGUUUAUGCCAGAAUGUAGAAACUCGACUAUCCUAGCUGUCAAUUAUGUAACGAAAAAUACUGUAGAAACUAAGGUAUCCUCACUGGCUCACCUUGUUUAUAUUAAUAAAAAUAUGGAGCGUUGGUGAAACCUGGACCAAACCCUCCUACUACUAUGGGUUAAAGGUUACCGCGUGUUGAAAGCCAUGAAGCAUGCACUUGGUACUAGUUGUGACAAGAGAAUGACAUCUUCGGAGCGGAAUGCGCAUUAGUUUCAACAUGGGGAAAGCACAAUAGUUUCGUCAUUUCGAGAUCGAAAGAAACGCGGACCAAAGCUAUGCUUAUGCUUUGAAGAUAUUCUUCUACAAAGAAGACAUGCUUUUGACUUGGCUGAAAGAAAUCAGUCUACUGAGUGCAACAUUUUAGCGGUCAUUUGGUAAAAAGAGAAAGAACGCAAUCUUUCACUGGUAACGUGUGAUAGGUCAAUAGGUAGCUCGCGUCAUAUAUCUUGUGCUAAACCUGAAAGGCUGAAACCGUACCCUAUCUCAGAU